rnacentral:rRNA from 1 species
UACGUAGGUGGCAAGCGUUGUCCGGAAUUAUUGGGCGUAAAGCGCGCGCAGGCGGUUUCUUAAGUCUGAUGUGAAAGCCCCCGGCUCAACCGGGGAGGGUCAUUGGAAACUGGGAAACUUGAGUGCAGAAGAGGAAAGUGGAAUUCCAAGUGUAGCGGUGAAAUGCGUAGAGAUUUGGAGGAACACCAGUGGCGAAGGCGACUCUUUGGUCUGUAACUGACGCUGAGGCGCGAAAGCGUGGGGAGCAAACAGG